CUUAUAGAGGGUUCGAUCCUGGCUCAGGAUGAACGCUGGCGAUAUGCUUCACACAUUCAAGUCAAAUAGGAAACAAGAGAAAUGAUGUUUCCAGUUGUUGAUGGGUGAGUAAGGCAAUCGAACCUACCUUUGGGAGGGGAAAAACAGCUGGAAAUGGCUUCUUAUACCCCAUAGGCUUGGGAGAAAAAUAAGGAAUCCGCAGAAGAGAGGAUCACAUCUGAUUAGCUAGUUGGGGAGGCAAUUUCUUACCAAGGCAACCAUUAGUAGCUGGUCUGAGAGAAUGAUCAGUCACACAAGGACUAAGACAUAGCCCAGACUCCUAUAGGAGGUAGUAGUGGGGAAUAUUUUGCAAAAGCCUGACGGAGCAAUGCUGUGUGAAGGAGAAGGCCCACAGAUCAUGAACUUCUUUUCCUAGAGAAAAAGCAAUAACGAUACUUGGGGAAUAAGAAUCACUUAGAUGUGUGCCAGUAGCUAUGAUAAUAUAGAGGAUGCAAGCGUUAUUAGGAAUGAUUAGGCAUAAAGUGUCUGUAGGUGGAUUUUUAAGUCUGUCGUCAAAUCCCAGGGCUCAACCUUUGACAGGCAGUGGAAACUACCAAGAUGGAGUAUGGUAGGUGAAGUAGGAAUUUUUGGUGGAGCGAUGAAAUGCAUAGAGAUUUGAAAAAACACUAAUGGUGAAAGUACUCUGCUGGGAUGACACUGACACAUAGAGAUAAAAUCUAGGGUAGCGAAUAUGAUUAGAUACACUAGCAGUCUUAGCCCUAAAUACUAAAUAAGGGAAUACGUUCGCAAUAAUGAAACUCAAAGGAAUUGACGGAGGCCUACACAAGCGGCGGAGCAUGUGGUUCAAUUUGAUGCAAAGCAAAGAACCUUAUGAAGGCUUCACAUGUUGCAAAUCCUCUUGAAAGAGAGGGGUACCUUCAAGAAUGCAGACACAGGAAGUGCAUAGCUAUCGUCAGCUUGUGUCGUAACGCAUUGUGUUAAUUCCCUCAAAGGACAAAACCCUCGUGUUUAGUUUCCAUUAUUAUAUUUAGAACCCUGAACAAGCUUUUGAUAACAAGAUGGAGGAAGGUGAGGAUGACGUCAAGUCAUCAAGCCCCUUAUUCCCUGGGCAACACACGUGCUACAAUGGGACAAAGGGUCACGAUCUUCUGAGGGUGAGCUUACCCCAAAAAACCAUUCUGUGUUUGGAUUACGGCUGCAACUCGCCUGCAUGAAGCCAUAACCACUAGUAAUCGCCGGUUAGCCAUACAUAAUUACCUAACAUUACUUACAGUACCUAACAUUACUAACAGU
rfam:Capsicum annuum cultivar Zunla-1 chromosome 7, whole genome shotgun sequence